AACGCACCGGAUUGUGGUUCCGGCAUUCGUGGGUUCGAUUCCCAUCAGCCGCCCCAUUAAUAUUUCUCAACUGAAC
rnacentral:tRNA from 1 species